rnacentral:tRNA from 3 species
GGAGGGAUGUCAGAGCGGCCGAAUGAGCACGCUUGGAAAGCGUGUAUACCUCACGGUAUCAUGGGUUCGAAUCCCAUUCCCUCCACCA